CAGCAGUAAGUAGUAGUAGUAGUAGUAGUAGUAGUAGUAGUAGUAGUAGCAGUAGUAGUAGUAGCAGUAGUAGUAGUAGUUGUUGUUGUUGUUGUUGUUGUUGUUGUUGUUGUUGUUGUUGUUGUUGUUGUUGUUGUUGUUGUUGUUGUUGUUGUUGUUGUCGUUGUUGUUGUUGUUGAUGAUGGAGAUGGCGAUGGUGGUGGUGGUGGCGAUGGUGGUGGUGGUGGUGGUGGCGAUGGUAGCGAUGGUGGUGGUGGCCCUCUGCCUCACGGGGGUUGAGGAAGCAAAGUGGCUGUUGGUAUUAUUGUGGCGGCAGAGGCGGCGUGGUGGUGAUGGAUGACGAUUAUUACCAGCACCUCCACGCACCCUUCCCUUGACCCGCGCAGCUCACCUUUCUUUACUCUUUUUCUUUCUUUUCUCGAUUUUUUCUCCUUAUUCUUUGUUUUCCUCUAUUUUCUUUUCAUGUCUGCAUCUUCCCCAGCUUCUUUUCUCAUCUUUCUAUCUGUCGUUCCUUGUCUUUCCUUUCCUCUCCUCAACUAUCUUCUUUCUCCCUUCUCUUCCUUUUCCUCUACUUUUUUAUCUCUUUAACCUCUCUGAUUACUCUUUUUGCAUUUCCCUUUAGCUAUUCCUUCUUUUUCCUUCUCUUUCGUCUCUUUAAAUAUCUUUUCCUUCACUCUUCUUUAUCUUUCUCUUCCUUUUUCAUAUUUUUUUUAUUUCUUCAACCUCCUUUACUUCUUUCUUCCCUUUCCCAUCUAUCCUUCCUUUUCUUUUCUUUCCUUUCGUCUCCCUAAAUUUCUUUCCCUUCCUUAAUCCUCAUUCUCUUCUUUUUUCCUGCAUCUCUUUUCUCUUUAAUCUUCCAUUUAAACUCCCCAAGCAUUCAUUUCUCCUUCCAGUUAUGCUCCUCUUCCUCCUCCUCCUCUUCCACUUCCCCAGCUCAUUUCCUCUUCCUCCUUCUCAGUUACCUCCACAAAAUCUAACUUUUUCUUCCUCUUCCUCUUCUUUCUCGAUCAUUUCCUCCUUCUUUUAAGCUUCUACACUCAUCUUCCUUUUCUUCUCUCCCUCUUCCAACUCCUCAGCUAAUAAUCUUUCCUCCCUUCCAUCUCCCUCUCAUCACCCCCAAAUUCCUCUUCUAUCCUCCCCAGCUAACCUCUUCCUCUUCUUCUUCCUCUUCCCCUUCUAUCUUUCAAGCCUUUCUUUUACCCUCCCCAAUUGACUUUGCUUUAUUCCCAUUUCUCCUCAUUUUCCUCCAUCCCUCUGUUAUUACCUUCUCCUUCCCCCAACCUUCCAAUUAACCUCUCCUUCUCCCUCAUCCUCUUCUAUUUUCCUUCUUUGCUUUGUUCUUACCUUCUAUUCUUCCCAGACUUCUUUUAACCUCACUAACUAGCCUCUUUUUCUUCAUCUUGAUCUUCUUCCUCUUUCUUUUUUUCUGUAGGUAUUGUUAUGUAAUCUCUAAAAAUAUUGCUUCUACUUUUCUUCUCCUUUCUUUCUUCUUCGUCCUCUUCAUCUUAUUCCUUUAUUACCCUCGCUUCUUCCUCAUCAGUAUCCUCUUUUGCACCUCCUCAGUCUCCCUUCUCUUCCUCCUUCCUUUCCUCCUCCUCCAUUCCUCCUCCCCAUCCUACCAUUUGUAUUCAUCUUUCCUCUCUCCUCCUCCUCCUCCUCCAUCCUGCACCCACCUCCCACCAAUCCUCCUCCUCCUCCCCUGAACUCCUUUCUAUUCCCACCCAUCCUUCUCCUCUUCCUCCUCCUCCACAGAGACGCGCAAGCUCCACUCCUCCUCCUCCUUCUCCUCCUCUGCUGCUUCCUCCUCAGAAUCGCGCUAGUCCUCCUACCCUCCCUCCUCUUCUUCUUCCUCCUCCUCCUUCUCCUCCUCCUUUCUUUAAUAUAUCCCCCCCUACCAUAUGCCUGAGUGCGGAGGUAGGCAGGUGGUGUUUUGGAAUUGCUGACGUGCUCUCGUCUCUCGCAUUUAAUAACAUGUAAUUUUCUAUUUUUAGACACGUGGAAAACUAUAAUUAAAUCUUGUAUGUAAUUAAUGAUGCUGGGAGAAGAGAGAGAAAGAGAGAGAGAGAAAAUGUGUAAAUGAUGUGUGUGCUUAUGUGUGUCCAUGUGUGUGUGUGUGUGUGUGUGUGUGUGUGUGUGUGUGUGUGUGUGUGUGUGUGUGUGUGUGUGUGUGAUGGAUAGGAUACAUUUGUACUUAUUUGUUUCUUCUCAAGGUGAAAAACAUGAGAUUUAUUAAUGGGAAUGUAACGAUAUGUGUGUUUUGUAAUGUUCACCUCCUUCCUGUGUGUGUGUGUGUGUGUGUGUGUGUGUGUGUGUGUGUGUGUGUGUGUGUGUGUGUGUCGUUAAUCUGUGCGCAUACACAAGCCAUCCACACACUCCCUUCCUCACUGCCUCCCUCCCACACACACACACACACACACACACACACACACACACAAUCAUUCAUAGCACGAAAAUAUCCGAUAAGAAGACAGUGACAAAGUGAGGCUGUGAUAAACACAGAACGAAAAAAGAGGUUAACAAUAAAAAAAAGAAGAAAGGGAGAAGAUAACACACGAACGACAGAAAAUGAGAGAAAGAAGGGGAAAAAAAAAUAACCUCAUGGAAAAAAAAAGAAACUAUGCAAUCAGUUGUGCUCGGAAAGGGGAAAAAAGAUGGAAACAAUUAUAGAUAAAGGGGAAAAAAAUAAAUAAUGAACAAGAUUGAUCGACACUGGGAAAAAUGUGAAUUGUAAAGAAAACUGAGCUUAUAACAUCAUCUCAGAGUGUUAUUAGCUUCCUCCUCUUCCUCCUCCUCCUCCUCCUCCUCCUUCUCUUCCUGCUCUUCCUCCUCCUCCUCUUAUCCCCAUCCUCCUCCUUCUCCUCAAAUACCCCUGCCUGUUAAUUACGGUCUCCAUCCCUCCUCCUCGUCCUCCUCCUCCUCCUCCUCCUCCUCCUCCUCCUCCUCCUCCUCCUCCUCCUCCUCCUCCUCCUGGGAUGGUGGUGAGAGGAAGAUCACUCGUGUGGUUAUCAUCUCCUGCACGCCUCAAUACAGAUCAAAUGGCCUCGCUGACUCCAAGUAUAAAUCAAUGCCGCGAGCUGAGAGGCGCGAGAGUCUGAUUCCCACACCCUCGCCUGCCACGACGCCACCGCCUCCCCUCCCACUCCACGUCGCAGACACCACCAGGCAAUGAGAUGAAGGAAAAGAAAGGCUCUACGAUCGCAAAUAGAUUACAAAUCACUGGAAAUAUAACCCCUAGUGGAAACCUGCCAAGGACAGUACAUUUUUAGACGCUACGACCGCAAAUAGAUUAAAAAGUAUUGAAGAUAUAAGCUCUUCAGAGUGAAAUCAUUGUUUUGAGGUACUACGAUCGCAAAUAGGUUAUAAAAUAAUGGAAGCAUAACACCUAAUAAAAACAUGACAAAGACAAUACUAUUUUAGACAUUAUGACUGGAAAUUCGUUGACAAACACUGGAAAUAUAACACUUAGAUUACAUAAUCAAGGACAUUUUUUUUUUUUUGAGAAACCGCGUUCACAAAUGAAUGAGAAAGUAAUGGAAAUGUAACCCACACUAAACAGAAGCCAAAAAGAACAUAUCGUUUGAGACACAAGGUCAGAAAAUGAAUGAGAUAUGACUGGAAAUAUAACCUCUAGUGAAAAUAAACCAAAAAAAAAGGAAACAUUUUUGAGACACUGACCGCAAAUAAAUUAGGAAACACUAGAAAUAUAAAUCUUAAUGAACAAAAAGCCAAAGAGAGCAAAUUAAGAAUGAGAUAACACUGAAAAUACAUCUACUAAGGCCAAAACAAAAUGAAUGAAUUAACGACUCCACCUGACAAAUAUUUACGUUAUUGUGUCUCUGGUCCACAAAUAAUGUAAUCUUUAUCGUAUUGUUCGUUAUAAGUAUAAUUUACCCGAACACUCACUCUGCCUAACAGGGUGUAAGAGUGAAGGAGGAAAACUUGUACAUUUUCUUAUUUUUCAUCUCGAGAUUAUCAAAUUUUCAGUUCAGGGAAAAAUUAUCAUCUCAUUUUAUCGCACAAUCGUUUUAAAAUUACUUUUUCUUCUUUUUCUUUUACUUCAUUCUUUUAUUCCUCCUCUUCUUUCACCACAUCCACCACCACCACCAGCUCUUCUUCCUCCUCCUCCCUUCCCUCUCCUCUUCCUCCUCCUCCUCCUCCUCUUACUCCUCCUCCUCGCCAUCCAAUCGUCAUGCUGCUUAGAAAUGCGGAAGAUUGAAAUUCAGGGAGACAAAAAAAGGAAAACAGACACACAAAGAAAUACGAAAAGUAAAAAAAAAAGAAAAGAAGGAAAAAUAAACCCAGUCAAGGGCACAAUGGAAUAGUUUAAACAUCUAUCCACACACCAAUGCGGAUAUCAGGCCACAGACAGACAGACAGAGAGACAGACAGACAGACAAACGCUAUUUCUUACGUUCACGGGGUCACAGGCAGACAAAGAGCGCAGCGGUGACCUUGUUGAGAGGAAGAGGAGAAAGAGGAAGAAGACAAGAAGGAGGAGGAAGAAGAGGAAGAGGAGGAGGAGGAGGAGGAAGCACCACUACCACCACUACCACAACCUCUGCAUCAAUGUCAGAAACAGAGAUGCUUUUACACACACAUGAUGAUGCACACACACACACACACACACACACACACACACACACACACACAGAGAGAGAGAGAGAGAGGAGCGAGGGAAUAUCCGUUGUUCGUCUUCCGAGUUCUUCCUUCAGGCAAGAAAUAGCGGGAGAAACAUCCCUCAGUGGCAGGAGGAGGAGGAGAAGGAAAAGGAGGAGGACGGAGGAGGAGGAGGGAGAAGAAGUAAAGAGGAAUCCGAUAUUAAAAGAAGAAAAGGGUUAAAUUCUCUCUCUCUCUCUCUCUCUCUCUCUCUCUCUCUCUCUCUCUCUCUCUCUCUCUCUCUCUCUCUCUCUCUCAUUGGCGCGCAAAAUGUUGUGUUUAAGAAACCGCAAUAACCUUGGACAAACGUAAUCCUCUUUCUUCCUACGCCUCCUUCCUUCCUUCCUUCCUUCCUUCUUUCCCUUUACGUCUUGUAUUUAUUAGUGUCUUCUUCUUCCCUACCUUUAAUCAACUCUAUAUCUUUUCACUCUCUUCCUAACUUUACUUCAUUCCUUAUUCCUUCUUUCACUUUACAGUUGUUUUCUCUCUCCUAUUCUUCUUUCCAUUCAUUUAAUCUCCUUGCAUUUUCUCUCUCUUUUUUUUUCUUCUUUCUUCUGUUAUUCUUUAUCCCAUGUCUUUCCCUUCCCCUUCUCUUCCUCUUUUUUUCCCCUUUUCGUCUUCUUUUCCUUCUGCCAGUUCUCCUUCCAUGUCUCUCUAGUCUUCUCUCUAUUUCUCCUCUCCUUUUUUCCUUCCUUCCUUCCAUAUCUUUCCAUUCCUAUUCCUCCAUUGCUUUUUCCUUCUUUUCCUCCCUCUC